rnacentral:rRNA from 1 species
CCUACGGGUGACAGCAGUGGGGAAUAUUGCACAAUGGGGGAAACCCUGAUGCAGCGACGCCGCGUGAGUGAAGAAGUACUUCGUUAUGUAAAGCUCUAUCAGCAGGGAAGAAAAUGACGGUACCUGUGUAAGAAGCCCCGGCUAACUACGUGCCAGCAGCCGUGGUAAUACGUAGGGGGCAAGCGUUAUCCGGAUUUACUGGGUGUAAAGGGAGCGUAGACGGCAGUGCAAGUCUGGAGGGAAAGGGGGGGGCUCAACCCCCGGACAGCGCUGGAAACUGUACGGCUGGAGUGCAGGAGAGGUAAGUGGAAUUCCUAGUGUAGCGGUGAAAUGCGUAGAUAUUAGGAGGAACACCAGUGGCGAAGGCGGCUUACUGGACUGUAACUGACGUUGAGGCUCGAAAGCGUGGGGAGCGAACAGGAUUAGAUACCCUUGUAGUC